rnacentral:rRNA from 1 species
UGGCGACCGGCGCACGGGUGAGUAACACGUAUCCAACCUGCCGAUGACUCGGGGAUAGCCUUUCGAAAGAAAGAUUAAUACCCGAUGGCAUAGUUCUUCCGCAUGGUAGAACUAUUAAAGAAUUUCGGUCAUCGAUGGGGAGUGCGUUCCAUUAGGUUGUUGGCGGGGUAACGGCCCACCAAGCCUUCGAUGGAUAGGGGUUCUGAGAGGAAGGUCCCCCACAUUGGAACUGAGACACGGUCCAAACUCCUACGGGAGGCAGCAUG